GAGUUUGAUCAUGGCUCAGGAUGAACGCUAGCGGUGUGCCUAAUGCAGCAAGUCGAACGGGAUCCUUUGGAUUCGUCUGAAGGUGAGAGUGGCGGACGGGUGAGUAACACGUAGGUGACCUACCCCGGAGAGGGGGACAACCACUGGAAACGGUGGCUAAUACCCCGGAUGUCAUUGCUUUUAGAAAGCAAUGUCUAAAGCUCCGGCGCUCCGGGAGGGGCCUGCGGCCCAUCAGCUUGUUGGUAGGGUAACGGCCUACCAAGGCAAAGACGGGUAGGGGGCGUGAGAGCGUGACCCCCCACACUGGUACUGAGACACGGACCAGAUACCUGCGGGUAGCAGCAGCAAGGAAUAUUGCCCAAUGGACGCAAGUCUGAGGCAGCAACACCGCGUGGAGGAUGAAGGCCCUAGGGUUGUAAACUCCUUUUCUGGGGGAUGAGAAAGGACAGUACCCCAGGAAUAAGUCUCGGCUAACUACGUGCCAGCAGCCGCGGUAAUAC
rnacentral:rRNA from 1 species